rnacentral:rRNA from 1 species
GUGGAGAGUUUGAUCCUGGCUCAGAUUGAACGCUGGCGGCAUGGCUAAAACAUGCAAGUCGAGGGAGAAACCAACUUCGGUUGGUGGAAACCGGCGAAAGGGCGAGUAACGCAAUCGAACGUACCCCGAGGUGGAGGAUAAUUCAGGGAAACCUGUUGUAAUACUCCAUGUGCUCUCCGGAGGAAAGCUUCGGCGCCUUGGGAGCGGCGAUUGUCCUAUCAGGUUGUUGGUGAGGUAAUGGCUCACCAAGCCAAAGACGGGUAGCGGGUGUGAGAGCAUGACCCGCCGCAUCGGGACUGAGACACUGCCCGGACUCCUACGGGAGGCUGCAGUAACGAAUAUUCCGCAAUGCGCGAAAGCGUGACGGAGCAAUGCCGCGUGCAGGAUGAAGCGGUUCUGCCGUGUAAACUGCUGUCAGGGUCUAGGAAGAACUGACCAGACCCAGAGGAAGGGCCGGCUAAUCUCGUGCCAGCAGCCGCGGUAAGACGAGAGGCCCGAGCGUUAAUCGGAAUCACUGGGCUUAAAGGGUGCGUAGGCUGAUGUGUAGGUGUGUUGUGAAAUCCCUCGGCUCAACCGAGGAACUGCAAUGCAAACCACACAUCUUGAGAUAGGCAGAGGUUGUCGGAACGUUCGGUGGAGCGGUGAAAUGCGUAGAGAUCGAACGGAACGCCAAAGGGGUAGCCAGGCAACUGGGCCUAUUCUGACGCUGAGGCACGAAAGCGUGGGGAGCAAACAGGAUUAGAUACCCUGGUAGUCCACGCCCUAAACGAUGUCAACUAGGUGUAUGGGAAAUAUAUUUCUUGUGUAUCGAAGCUAACGCGAUAAGUUGACCGCCUGGGGAGUACGGUCGCAAGACUAAAACUCAAAUGAAUUGACGGGGGCCCGCACAAGCGGUGGAGCAUGUGGUUUAAUUCGACGCAACGCGAAGAACCUUACCUACCCUUGACAUCCUAGAAAAAUCGCGUAAUGCGUAAUGCCUUCGGGAAUCUAGUGACAGGUGCUGCAUGGCUGUCGUCAGCUCGUGUCGUGAGAUGUUGGGUUAAGUCCC